rnacentral:tRNA from 1 species
UUCUUUGUGGUGCAUAGGAAGCAUUUCUGGCUGGGAAUCGGAAGGACUUGAGUUCGAAUCCUGGCAAGGACA